GUGUUGCCUUGAUGACACCUUGAUUUUGGACUUCUCAAAACUUUAAAAAAAACCCUGAUGGUUGGCUAGGACAAUGACCACCCAGCUAAAUAUAUCAUUACCCAGUCUCCUUUGAAACCAGCCUGGAACGCAGCCAUGAUAGUGAGUAUUACAAUAGCCAUCCUAGAGUGGAAAGUCCCAUGGAGAAGAC